rnacentral:rRNA from 1 species
AAUGCGAUAAGUAAUGUGAAUUGCAGAAUUCAGUGAAUCAUCGAAUCUUUGAACGCACAUUGCGCCCUCUGGUAUUCCGGGGGGCAUGCCUGUUCGAGCGUCAUUACAACCCUCAAGCCUAGCUUGGUGUUGGGCUCGCCCCCAGUGGGCCUGCCUCAAAAUCAGUGGCGGCUCCGUCCGGUCUCAAGCGCAGUAAUACUCGUCGCUUGUUGKUCCUGGGCGGGUGCCUGCCAGCAACCCCCAAUUUUAUAUUGUUGACCUCGGAUCAGGUAGGGAUACCCGCUGAACUUAAGCAUAUCAAUAAGCGGAGGAAAAGAAACCAACAGGGAUUGCCUCAGUAACGGCGAGUGAAG